rnacentral:rRNA from 1 species
GAUGAACGCUGGCGGCGUGCCUAAUACAUGCAAGUCGAGCGAACAGACGAGGAGCUUGCUCCUCUGACGUUAGCGGCGGACGGGUGAGUAACACGUGGAUAACCUCCCUAUAAGACUGGGAUAACUUCGGGAAACCGGAGCUAAUACCGGAUAAUAUAUUGAACCGCAUGGUUCAAUAGUGAAAGACGGUUUUGCUGUCACUUAUAGAUGGAUCCGCGCCGCAUUAGAUAGUUGGUAAGGUAACGGCUUACCAAGGCAACGAUGCGUAGCCGACCUGAGAGGGUGAUCGGCCACACUGGAACGGAGACACGGUCCAGAAGCCUACGGGAGGCAGCAGUAGGGAAUCUUCCGCAAUGGGCGAAAGCCUGACGGAGCAACGCCGCGUGAGUGAUGAAGGUCUUCGGAUCGUAAAACUCUGUUAUUAGGGAAGAACAAAUGUGUAAGUAACUAUGCACGUCUUGACGGUACCUAAUCAGAAAGCCACGGCUAACUACGUG